rnacentral:rRNA from 1 species
GACGAACGCUGGCGGCGUGCUUAACACAUGCCAGUCGAACGGAAAGGCCUCUUUCGGGGGGUACUCGAGUGGCGAACGGGUGAGUAACACGUGAGUAACCUGCCCUUGACUUUGGGAUAACUUCAGGAAACUGGGGCUAAUACCGGAUAGGAGCUCCUGCUGCAUGGUGGGGGUUGGAAAGUUUCGGCGGUUGGGGAUGGACUCGCGGCUUAUCAGCUUGUUGGUGGGGUAGUGGCUUACCAAGGCUUUGACGGGUAGCCGGCCUGAGAGGGUGACCGGCCACAUUGGGACUGAGAGACGGCCCAGACUCCUACGGGAGGCAGCAGUGGGGAAUAUUGCACAAGGGGUGGAAGCCUGAUGCAGCAACGCCGUGUGCGGGAUGACGGCCUUCGGGUUGUAAACCGCUUUCGCUCAUGACGAAGCUUUGUGUGACGGUAGUGGGUAAAGAAGCACCGGCUAACUACGUG